rfam:Roseburia intestinalis XB6B4 draft genome.
UUUGGUAGAAAAUUAGAAAAUCUUAGUAUGUCUGUCUAUUCACAGUGAUGUUCUGCCAUGGAUGGCAGAACAAGGCAGCAUCGAGUCAGGGAUGACUCGUUGCUGCCGUUCACGUCACUUUGAAAAAAUCUAAUUCAGGCAUACUUAGUUUUUCUUAUUUUCGGACAUC